CAAACACACUGAAGAAGGAGCCCAGCUGAAAAUUUAAAACAUGACUUCCACCAAGCAUGUUUGGUGAACCAUUUAAAGAGGCGGAAGUCACAUUUUUGAUGCCAAAGAAGAGAUGUGCUUUCUCUGCUGUAGUUCCUGCCCUCUGGAAUAUUCUUCCAACCCUGUUGACUUUUCAUAAGGCCAUGAAGACUUGGUUAUGUGCAUAGACUUGGAAAUCCAGUGCAAAAUGAUGCCUUUGCCAUUGUCAUUAAAGUGAUCAUCUGCCUCCAGCAUCUUCCCUACAUAGGUUCCUGCUUAUUUUUGCUGAGUAGCUGAGAUGACCUUCACAUCUUGUGCAAAUCUGCUUGAAGUCUGUACUACUGGAAUAGUCAUGGUAUUUUUUUGCUCAUCCCUCCUCUGUCUCAAAAUGCAAAUACAAAAUAAUAUUAACAAAUAUUGUUAAUAUAAAAUACAUGCAAUAAAAUAUUGUAUUAACAAUACAAAAUAUGAUUGCAUGUAUUCUACCAGUUAGAAAGUUUAUGAAGUGCUGGUAGAAAU